CUUUUUGCCUUCCGGUGUACAUAAGAUUUAUGAAAGAGUGUAAGCUUUUUGUAGUGCAAGCAGGGAUGAGAGUAGGCCUCCCGGGAAAUGAAGCUUAAAAAACAACAACAAGAGGUUCAUUGUCAUCAUACGUAUCAGCGACAGCGAUCGUUUCAAGUUCUACACAGCGUCGUGCGCCAGAAACACUUCAGUCUUCACUCAGACUUCACAGACGACGAUUUUGUUGCAGAAAGUAUUUACGUCUCUGUGGUGGUGAUGUCCUAUCCGACAUGGCUGAUCAUCUACAACAUAAAGGACACAUCGGGGUUGUUGCUUAAUUCACAAUUUCAGUGGCCUCCUUAUAUAUUUGAAAACUAUUAGCCGAGAAUAAACGCAACAAUGUGCGAAUUAAUCUCGAUGAAUAUAGCACGUCUAUUUAACGCCUGGAAAUUCUUACAGAACUAAAUGUAGAGCGUAAAUACAUUUUGUAUGAUAAACAAAUUUCUAAGAUAUAUUUUGAAAAUACAUGAGGGUAUGAAAUGCAACGCUUCACGUCAGCUUACUUUUCAUGCAGUGCUAACCAUGUGUCGUGCUUCGUGAAACAUGCUAGUGUAAAUCGUCAACAUUUUUAAAAAAUAAAAUUCAUUUCU